GGAGAGGUGGCAGAGUGGCCGAAUGCGGCGGUCUCGAAAACCGUUUACCCUUUGGGGUACGUGAGUUCGAAUCUCACCCUCUCCGCCA
rnacentral:tRNA from 1 species